rnacentral:misc_RNA from 1 species
AACUGCGAUAAGUAGUGUGAAUUGCAUUUAGUGAAUCAUCGAAUCUUUGAACGCACCCUGCACUCACUGGUAUUCCGGUGAGUACGCCUGUUUCAGUAUCAUUGAAAACACACAAUCAAAACAUUUUCUUUGGUUUGAUUGGCUUUGGGUCUAUCAAAAAGUUUGGCUUGUUUCUUACAAGCCAAGCGGCCUGAAAUAUAUUGUCUGGCUAAUUGCAUCGUUGAUGAUCGCUAUUAGACUUUGGCUUUUUUAAAUGAACUGGAGGUUGAUUAACCAGUUUUAGCUUUAGUCAAAUGGUCAUUGUAAAAAAAAUCUUGAUCUUGGCUAGGUGUUUAUAGCCGAAAAUUUUUUUUUGGCUAUAACCGAAACCAAUAUAAUCACAUUUAGUUAUCGAUCUGAAAUCAGGUGGGACUACCCGCUGAACUUAAGC